UACGGAGGGGGCUAGCGUUGUUCGGAAUUACUGGGCGUAAAGCGCGCGUAGGCGGCUUUGUAAGUUAGAGGUGAAAAGCCCCAGGGCUCAACCUCGGAAUUGCCUUUAAGACUGCAUCGCUUGAACAUCGGAGAGGUAAGUGGAAUUCCGAGUGUAGAGGUGAAAUUCGUAGAUAUUCGGAAGAACACCAGUGGCGAAGGCGACUUACUGGACGAUUGUUGACGCUGAGGUGCGAAAGCGUGGGGAGCAAACAGG
rnacentral:rRNA from 1 species